rnacentral:rRNA from 1 species
ACGCUCGACACCUACGGGGGCAGCAGUAGGGAAUCUUCCACAAUGGACGCAAGUCUGAUGGAGCAACGCCGCGUGAGUGAAGAAGGUUUUCGGAUCGUAAAGCUCUGUUGUUGGUGAAGAAGGAUAGAGGUAGUAACUGGCCUUUAUUUGACGGUAAUCAACCAGAAAGUCACGGCUAACUACGUGCAAGCAGCCGCGGUAAUCUGAGCGGGCUGGCAAGGC